rnacentral:miRNA from 14 species
CAUGACAUCAUGACAUGAAGUCAUGAUGUCAUGAUGUCAUCAUGACAUCAUGACAUCAUGACUUCAUGACAUCAUGACUUCAUG